GGACACGAGGGCAAUCUGGCUGCAGCAUCCGUCACGCCACUGAUGGCCGGGGUUGAUCCGGCUGAUCUGGCUGGCCAGGCGGGUGUCCCCUUCCUCCCUCACCGCUUCACGUGCGUCCCUCCCGAAGUUGCGAGCUCGCUGGGCGACAGAGGAUGGCCUUCCCGGAUAGCGGAAGACCGUUCUUCGGUCAAGGGUACACGAGUACCUGCGAUCCGCUGCUAGAACCUCCAAACGAGCUAUCGCAUAUAUACUCCGUAUUCGAACUCCCCUAAUGUCUCCACACAUUUUUAACUGCAGUAAAAUAGACAUAACUAAGUU
rnacentral:snRNA from 1 species